rnacentral:pre_miRNA from 2 species
UCAGGACUACGCGUCGGCCGGCUCAAGAGCAAAAUUGUGUUUCAUACUAAUAUUGCACUUGUCCCGGCCUAUGUGUGGUAAGGCCUGAA